UACAGAGGUCCCAAGCGUUGUUCGGAUUCACUGGGCGUAAAGGGUGCGUAGGCGGUCGGGUAAGUCUGAUGUGAAAUCUCACAGCUUAACUGUGAAACUGCAUUGGAUACUAUUCGGCUAGAGAGUUGGAGGGGGGACUGGAAUUCUUGGUGUAGCAGUGAAAUGCGUAGAUAUCAAGAGGAACACCAGUGGCGAAGGCGAGUCCCUGGACAACUUCUGACGCUGGAGCACGAAAGCUAGGGGAGCGAACGGG
rnacentral:rRNA from 1 species